GACGAACCGAGCGAACGUUAUUCGGAAUCACUGGGCUUAAAGGGCGCGUAGGCGGGCGAUCAAGUCAGGGGUGAAAGCCCCCAGCUCAACUGGGGAAGUGCCUCUGAUACUGGUCAUCUCGAGGGAGGUAGGGGCGUACGGAACUUCCGGUGGAGCAGUGAAAUGCGUAGAUAUCGGAAGGAACACCGGUGGCGAAAGCGGCGCGCUGGACCUCUUCUGACGCUGAGGCGCGAAAGCCAGGGGAGCGAACGGG
rnacentral:rRNA from 1 species